GAGAGCAAGGAGGUACAUCUUGAUUGUGCACUGAACCAGAAAUAUUUGGUUGACUUCAACAAGAAAGAUAAAGACCAGCAACGUCCAGACCCAGCGUCAUCUGGUCUCAGAAAGUGCAAGAGAGCUGGAAUUGGACACACAGCAGUAAGAAAGCUUCCUGAAGAAUAAGUUGCUUUCUCAGGAGUCCCUGAUGACAAAUAUCCUGAAUGAAAACAGCACUUGAGAGACAACUUGGGGGACCUCCUUUCAUUAUGUGUGCAAGAGGAGAAACAGCAAUACAUCUGUGCUUCUAAAUGUUCAUUAAGAAUGUGCUGUUUAGAAAUAUUUUCGUUAUGAUUUUAAUUGAAAUUUUCUUUUUGUUGUUUCAUAUUUAUAUGUUCUUGUUACUGUUUUUAUCUUUUCAAAUAUUUUUAAAUAUUUUAAUUUAUUUGUUUUAAU